rnacentral:rRNA from 1 species
UACAGAGGUCUCAAGCGUUGUUCGGAUUCAUUGGGCGUAAAGGGUGCGUAGGCGGCGCGGUAAGUCGGGUGUGAAAUCUCGGGGCUUAACUCCGAAACUGCAUUCGAUACUGCCGUGCUUGAGGACUGGAGAGGAGACUGGAAUUUACGGUGUAGCGGUGAAAUGCGUAGAUAUCGUAAGGAAGAUCAGUGGCGAAGGCGGGUCUCUGGACAGUUCCUGACGCUGAGGCACGAAGGCCAGGGGAGCAAACGGG